UUAAUAGGUUCGAGGUGGAAGCAUGGUGACAUGUGGAGCUGACGAAUACUAAUCGAUCGAAGACUUAAUCAA
rnacentral:rRNA from 1 species